rnacentral:tRNA from 1 species
GAGGGUAUAGCUCAGUGGUAGAGCACAUGCUUAGCAUGCACAAGGUCCUGGGUUCAAACCCCAGUACCUCCC